rnacentral:rRNA from 1 species
CUCCUACGGGAGGCAGCAGUGGGGAAUUUUGGACAAUGGGGGCAAGCCUGAUCCAGCAAUGCCGCGUGUGUGAAGAAGGCCUUCGGGUUGUAAAGCACUUUUGUCCGGAAAGAAAACUUCCGCCCUAAUACGGUGGGGGGAUGACGGUACCGGAAGAAUAAGCACCGGCUAACUACGUGCCA